GUCAGACCAGUAGAUUUUACUUGCCAUCAUUUUCACUACUAUUUUCUCCACUGUGUUCUCUAGUUUUAUUGUAAACAUUUCUUUGUUCUGAUGUGUCUCCAUGAAUGAACACUGAGUGUUGCUUAUUUUAGAAGCUGCAGCAAUAACAGAAACCGGAUGCUUGAAGAAAAGGCAAGAACUGAUAAUAACCACAGUCGAUAAGAAAAAACAAGACAUGUUCAACAAGGCAAAAAAUGAAGUGCUUAAAAAGUUCAAUAACUUAAAGCUCUACAUAAAGAAUGAACUUGAAUCAGAGCUAAAGAUGUCAGAAACUCUUACUGUUCCAAAGCAGCAAAAUCACAUUGAUGGAUGUCUCCAAAGAGAUUGAACAGCUGGAGAGCCUGUCAGAGCAAUAAAACGCCCAAGAGAAACGACACAAUUAAACACAUUAAAGAGUAACACAUUUUAAAUAACUGUUUUUAUUACUUUUACAACAAAUGUCAUCUUUUCAUGUUCUUUUUUUAAUUCACAUUUAUUUGUCUGUGUUGUUGUAUUUUUUAUAUGUUUGUUUGGUGGAGGUUUUAUCUUAAGUUGUUAACUUUCAUUAGAUUUCUCUGAAAUGUGGGUUCAUUUUAGAUGACAAUAUAUGAUAGACAAAUGAUACUGUAUUGAUUUAUCACAACUGUUUUACAGCAAGAAAUGAAAACAACAUUUAAAAAGGUUGAUAUAGCGGUGGCAUUUUCAAUAUUAUUUAUUAAUGAUAUUGUUACAACACAAGCUACCUCUAAAGCCCAGGAUACACUGAAUGAUUUAUGCAAUCCUCUAAGAUCAUUACAAAUCACACUGUGCGACAUGGAUCUAUUAAACUUGGGUACGACAUGCAUGUAGACUGUACGAUGAUGACACCUGUUGACUCGUACACUAUGAUGCAACUUUCUGCGCUAGUGGUAAACAAAUCACCAUGUUGAAUCACACUUUGGCAGUUGUAGUUUUUAUGUGUGCUGAAAAAAAGGAAGCGGCGAAAGAAGAAGAGAAAAGACCUUUAGGUAAGCAGUUUUAAAGGAUUAGUUAACUUACAAAUAAAAUUUUCCUGAUAAUUUACUCACCCCCCAUG